GAUGAACGCUAGCUACAGGCUUAACACAUGCAAGUCGCGGGGCAGCAUGGGGGUUGCUUGCAAUCCCCGAUGGCGACCGGCGCACGGGUGAGUAACGCGUAUCCAACCUGCCCUUCACCACGGGAUAACCCGGCGAAAGUCGGACUAAUACCGUAUGUUGUCCAUUGACGGCAUCCGAUUUGGACGAAAGGUUUGGCGGUGAAGGAUGGGGAUGCGUCCGAUUAGCUGGACGGCGGGGUGACGGCCCACCGUGGCGACGAUCGGUAGGGGUUCUGAGAGGAAGGUCCCCCACACUGGAGCUGAGACACGGUCCAGACUCCUACGGGAGGCAGCAGUGAGGAAUAUUGGUCAAUGGGCGUAAGCCUGAACCAGCCAAGUAGCGUGCAGGAUGACGGCCCUAUGGGUUGUAAACUGCUUUUAUGCGGGGAUAAAGUGGCCCACGUGUGGGUUUUUGCAGGUACCGCAUGAAUAAGGACCGGCUAAUUCCGUG
rnacentral:rRNA from 1 species